GGAGACCGGGGCGGGCGGCGGAGGGGUCUGAGCCACCGGGGGUGGCGUCGUGGCGGAGGCGGCGCGGGCGCAGCACCAGCCCUCCGGGGCCACCAGAGGCAGGAGCCUCAGAACUGCUUUGAUACAGAUGCAAACAAGAGGAUAAAGAAGAUGCCACCUACGACCUAGAUGAAAUUGUUGCCAGCGAAACACAUAAUAAUAGCUGUCAUCACUGCCUACCCUGGGGAACAAGGGGAGCCAGUCGCUUAGUGCAUAGAGAUGGUGACAGUAAGCAAUCUAGAUGCCAUUUUCUGGAGAAACUGCAGUUUCCUGGAUAAUUUUAAGAGGGAGCCAAGUUCUCAUACUGUGUACUACUGGAAUACUACUCAAAUUUGGAAAACAAAAGACUCCUGACCACAGCAAACACCUGAGAGUCAAGCAGCAAGGACAGAACAAGGAGCAUUUAUAAGUUGUGAAUCUGACAAUUCAUGGAGAGAGGUGGAUCUUACUACGCGGGAAUCCUCCUAUCAUCCAUUACUCACAAAGUACCAGCAUCGGGUCUCCUUUAAUAUAGUUCAUUCAGCAGGUGCGCAUAUUGAAGUCAUAAGUCUCCUUCCGAGUACUACUGUUACCGGUCUCCUUCUGAGAAAUGUGCAAUGUACUGUUACCAGUCUCCUUCUGAGAAACGUGCAAACCACUCAACAUGUUUAGAUAGCGUUUUCGUCACUCCUUCCUCAGUGUACAAUUUCUCUACAUAAUCUCUCUCAGUGUGGUUAUUUGAAAUAAAAUGA